UGGUGACGAUAGCAGAGAGGACCCACCUGUUCCCAUACCGAACACAGAAGUUAAGCUCUCUUACGCCGAAAGUACUUUCCUUAGCAGGACGGGAGGAUAGGUAGUUGCCACCU
rnacentral:rRNA from 1 species